CAGUAGCCGCGGUAAUACGUAGGGUGCAAGCGUUGUCCGGAAUUAUUGGGCGUAAAGAGCUCGUAGGCGGUUUGUCGCGUCUGCUGUGAAAUCCCGAGGCUCAACCUCGGGCUUGCAGUGGGUACGGGCAGACUAGAGUGCGGUAGGGGAGAUUGGAAUUCCUGGUGUAGCGGUGGAAUGCGCAGAUAUCAGGAGGAACACCGAUGGCGAAGGCAGAUCUCUGGGCCGUAACUGACGCUGAGGAGCGAAAGCGUGGGGAGCGAACAGGAUUAGAUACCCGGGUAGUCCCUGUCUCUUAUAA
rnacentral:rRNA from 1 species